rnacentral:rRNA from 1 species
UCCUACGGGGCGCAGCAGGCGAGAAAACUUUGCAAUGUGCGAAAGCACGACAAGGUUAAUCCGAGUGAUUUCUGCCAAAGAAAUCUUUUGCAAGUCAUAAAACCACUAGUGAAUAAGGGGUGGGCAAGUUCUGGUGUCAGCCGCCGCGGUAAAACCAGCACCUCAAGUGGUCAGGAGGAUUAUUGGGCCUAAAGCAUCCGUAGCCGGCUCUGUAAGUUUUCGGUUAAAUCCAUGUGCUCAACGCAUGGGCUGCCGAAAAUACUGCAUAGCUAGGGAGUGGGAGAGGUAGACGGUACUCGGUAGGAAGGGGUAAAAUCCUUUGAUCUAUCGAUGACCACCUGUGGCGAAGGCGGUCUACCAGAACACGUUCGACGGUGAGGGAUGAAAGCUGGGGGAGCAAACCGGAUUAGAUACCCGGGUAGUCCCAGCUGUAAACGAUGCAGACUCGAUGAUGCAUUGGCAUAUAGCCAGUGCAGUGUCGCAGGGAAGCCGUUAAGUCUGCCGCCUGGGAAGUACCGUACGCAAGUAUGAAACUUUAAAGGAAUUGGCGGGGGAGCACCACAAGGGGUGAAGCCUGCGGUUCAAUUGGAGUCAACGCCAGAAAUCUUACCCGGAGAGACAGCAGAAUGAAGGUCAAGCUGAAGACUUUACCAGACAAGCUGAGAGGUGGUGCAUGGCCGUCGCCAGCUCGUGCCGUGAGAUGUCCUGUUAAGUCAGGUAACGAGCGAGAUCCCCGCCACUAGUUGCUAUCAUUAUUCUCAGGAAUAGUGGGGCGAAUUAGUGGGACUGCCGUUGUUAAAACGGAGGAAGGAGGGGGCUACGGCAGGUCAGUAUGCCCCGAAACUCUGGGGCCACACGCGGGCUGCAAUGGUAGCGACAAUGAGCUCCAAACUCGAAAGAGAGUGGCAAUCUCUAAACGCUACCACAGUUAUGACUGAGGGCUGUAACUCGCCCUCACGAAUAUGGAAUCCCUAGUAACCGCGUGUCAUUACCGCGCGGUGAAUACGUCCCUGCUCCUUGCACUCACCGCCCGUC